rfam:Dipodomys ordii contig_18329, whole genome shotgun sequence.
UGGCUCAGUGGUAGAGCGCUUGCCUUGCAUGCAUGAGGUCCUGGGUUCAAUUCCUCAG